CGACGCCGACGACGCGCUUUUCCCAACGGAUCCCGAAUCCAAAUAAGGACUCGUUACAACGCAGGGCCGUCCUCCCCGGGUGCUUUUCACCUAAAUGAAGGUACCAAUAGAUGAUGGUACGCGUCCAGUUCACGCUUUCCUCCCUUUUUUAACUACUAUUGCUUUUUUUUUUUUCUUUUCUUUUUUCCUUUUUUCUUGUCAUUCUUUCGCUGUUCUUUCUUUGUUCGUUUCCUUGCUUUUAAAAGUACUUCUUCUUCUGUAAAAGAAAAGAGAAAGAUGUAAAGAACAACAUUUAAAGUAGGUUACGUUGUGAGAUUCAGUCAAAGUCAUGUGUCUUCGUCAAAAUAAAAUAUCAUUUAUCUUUUACGUAAUUAUAUAUUCCUCUCAUACUUAUUAAAGGAUUUUAUACAAGAAUGAAUCUCGAGUAAUUUAUAUUUACAUAAAAAAUCAUGUUGUAUUAGUUAUUGUAUAAUGGCCUAACGCAGAUGAUAAAGAUGAUAUAAAUGUAAGGACAGGUAGUUCGUAGAACGUAUUUGAAAUAGAAAUACUCGAGAGAAUAUUGAUUGUAUUUGGAAAGACAAUAAUCUUCUAAAUAAUAAAAAUAACCAUUUUUUAUUUAGUAUUAUUAAAAUGUACGGGGCGACGAGAAUUACUCGAUCCAUCAUCGAGCUCUCUCCCCACUUUACCAUUUUGUAGUAGCAUCGAUGUUGGCUGUCGAUUUGUCGGACAGAUUCGCCGAGUUUGCAUUACUGAGUUUCAAUCUCGAAACGGCGCGUCUUUGUUAGUUGCUAAUGUUCUUUUAAUUGUGCUUCCUUUGCAUACGUUACGGUAACUAACUUAAAGAAAAUUAUUAUGAAAAAAUGAGUGCAAAUUGAUCAUCAUUCUGCCGUAUGCGAACAAGCAUACGAGGAUGAAUAUCUCCUGAGAUUAAAAUUAAAUCAUUAACGACAUUCUCUUUCGUUAGCACUUUCGUGUCGGUAAUAAAGCUUAUAUAUAAAACAAUUGUUCCUUGAUAAUUCGAUUAUGAUAGAUAAAAUAUUCGUGAGAGAGUUAGAAUAUAACGUUAGAAUGUAAAUUCUGUACAUAUACGUAUUUUCUACGUAUCUUAUUUCACUAUGCAAAGUUCGAAUGUAAAAUGACAUCAAUAUCGGAUGAUAAAAGUUAGCCAAUGCAUCCGAAUGUUACCUUCUUCGUCAAAUAUGCAUACAACGACUAAAAUGUUACCUGGAUUUUCAUUUCCACUGGGCAUUGGCUGAUGGAUCAUUGUUAACCACAUCGGUGAACGAUUUGGUGCAUCAUUAAGGACGUGGUAAUUUAAAAAAAAUCAUUACUGAUUCAUUGUCCGGUGUACAGCAGUGUUUAUGCAUGAUCGUUAAAUUGAAUUCUCCCUUGGGUAGAUAGCCAAUUAUAUCGUCUUCCUUGUAAAUUAUCCAUAUCUAUAUACAUAUAUAGAAUUAGUUGGUUCUAAUAUGUAAAUAUUUAAUUAUACGUAAACUAAACUACUUUUAAUAAAUCCGUUUUAUAUACGGUUCCUUUA